UACGUAGGGUGCAAGCGUUGUCCGGAAUUAUUGGGCGUAAAGAGCUCGUAGGCGGUUUGUCGCGUCUGCUGUGAAAUCCCGAGGCUCAACCUCGGGCCUGCAGUGGGUACGGGCAGACUGGAGUGCGGUAGGGGAGAAUGGAAUUCCUGGUGUAGCGGUGGAAUGCGCAGAUAUCAAGAGGAACACCUGCGGCGAAGGCGGGUUGCUGGGCCGACACUGACGCUGAGGCGCGAAAGCUAGGGGAGCGAACGGG
rnacentral:rRNA from 1 species